AGUAGUCAACUUGGCCUCUUGGCGUCUACCGGCUACAGCUACAUCAACAUCUAUAAUUUGCAAACUACUGUGAAGUGCACCGCAGAGGGAUGCUGACGAACUACUGUGUUGUUACCAGUUGUUGCUGGCACAGAACACACACACAGUGAGUCACUGGUUGCCUGCAUGCAGUAAAGCAUGUGGGUUCCUCAGCUGAUGAGAUCCCCCCUUGGAGGAACGGUGUCAGCAUGGGGCCAAUUCUGGAAAUUCUGCAGUCCCUAGGAGAUGCACAGUGUGUCAGCUUCCAAGAAUUCCCAAGUUCCUGCCAUCUCUCCGUGGCUAAGCAGCAGCAACGUGGACAUCGUCCAACAACACGAGGACAUCUGAUGCUGGAAUUUAGAAAAGAAAAGUUUGUCUGCAACAUUGCAGUGAUAUGCCAGAGAUGCUGAUAUUGACAGCAAAUUCUUUCAUAAUGGGAGAGACAUUAGGAAUGUCUGGAGUUGUUGUGAAACCACUUACUGAGUCAACAAAUAACAGACCUGUUGCCAGCAGUUUCUUGCCUUAUGUAAGUGCAAGCAGCCCAGCAGCAAGAGGCUUCAGAAGCUAAAGAUGGAGUUCAGCUGCCAUCUCAGGCCUUCAAACAGUCUGAUGAGAAGAAGUGUCUCCACAGUAUUGAUGAGUCACAAGCUGCAACCCAGAAAGAAGAUAGAGCCCAUUAAUCAAGAAACAGAUGAUAAUGCAUUGAGGAGCUUACAUUAAUGCCUUCAGAAAAGCAUUGCCAAUUAUGAAAGUCAUUUGUACAAUGUAUAUUUGUGGUUGGCAUUUUAGCAAUGGCAAUGUAUGGAGAACAGCCAUAAGUUAUAUUGAUGUAAAUAUACAUUGAACCUCACAAUAAACAAAUGAAAGCAUACAGUGUUGCAUGGGCCAACUUGUAGUAAUGCAAUGCAGGUAUGCCACACAGAAACGUCUCCUGUGAAUGCAAAUGAAGGAUUCUGAAAAAUCAAGGAUGCCUGGCCCUCUCACUCAUGCAGCCUUAUUAUAAAUAUUGAAAAUAACAGACACAUUCUGUUGGAAUGCCAAAUAUCACAUUGGUAGAGGUUUCAACAGAUACUGCUGGCACCAUAUUUUUUAAACUUAUUAUAGCAAGGAAAGUAUUUCAAACAAUUAUCAAAUGUGUAUUGUGAUGAACUAAGAUUUAGUCCAGUCCUUGAUACCAUCAGCUCUACAAUGUUGUUAGUCUUAUAUGAAAUACAAUGAUUAUCUUGUUUUCACCAGUUGUUCAGAUAAUUUAGAUAAAAUAUUUGAUUUAUCCAUUUAUUGUUACUCAUUUCUUCCAUUUCACUAUGUGACAAAGUCGUCUACUAUAAUUUGCCCGUCUACAAUUAUUUCUUGGAAAAUUGAAUUAACUCAGCAGUUUUGAACUCUUUUAUCAUAGGUGCAUGUAUUUAUUUAUAAUGAUUUUUAAUGUACAGUUCUGUACUAAUACUGUUUUUUUCCCAUAGUUUUAUUGAAAAGUGAAUGGUAAUGACACACAAUAAAUAUAACUCGACUAAAUUUUUGACUGUGUACCAAUGUUCCUAAUUAUAUUAUUGACACUUAUUUUUAUUUUGUACAUUGCUUGAUGGCACAGAAGCAUGAGAUAAUUUACAGCCAAAGUAUGCUUCAAUAACAGUGGCCAUUCUCUGUCUUUUGAGAUGUCAUACUUUAUUUUCCAGAUUCUCAGUUCUGUUCAGUACCUAUUUUUUGUCUCACACAAACACUUUAUUAUAAAUGAGCAUGAAAAAGGACUAACAAUCAAAUUAUGAGGUCCACUAUGGUCACUAUGUGCUACUUCACAUAUUAAUUACUAAAGGUAAUAAAUAUAUAAUUUUCAACUAUACAAGUGCUGCUGGUUACCAUCAUGAAAAAAAUGGUGUUGCAUUUAGAGUCAAUUUUACAGUAGUCAUCACACACAGGGUUUGCUUCAUAACAGUGUCUGUGUACAGAUGGUGAGAUUUUAGAAAUGAUUUUAAACAGACAAUUGUAACAUACAUUGCUUCAUUAUUUACUCAUAGUUUAAGGUAUUCAUUUAUUGCUGUAUAUAGUGCUUGACAUAUUACAUAAUAGGAUUCCUUACCUUUUUAAGCAAAAUAUUUGUGUGUAAAUAAAACAAAUGAUGCCAUUGAUAAAUUUUUGUUAAGAAAUAAAACAUGUGGUGCCACUGAUAAAUUUGACAAGAAGCAGAGAAAUGGUUUGCAUGUUGAUUAUUUUAAUAAUGGCAAUAAUCAGAAAAGGGCAAUUUUAAGAUACAAUAAAGUUAUCUGUAAUGUUAACUUUGCACAUUUCCUCACUAUACAUAUAUUGGUAUCUUGUCUGAGUUCCCUGCUUAAUACAUUUUCCCUUCAACCUUUCCUUCUCUGUUUUACCUGCUCCAUUUUACUGAUAAGGAACCCAGAUGCCCAUUCAUUCUUUUGAAAUACUUAUUAAUCUGUCAUAAGUGGGUAGGUAGAGAGAUCCUUUAUUUCAUUGUGCUUCUCUUUCACUUUGCAAGGAAAUAGUGAUUCAAAAUUAAUCACCUAAUUCAAUGCAACAUAAUUCUUAUCUUUAUUUUCAAAACAGUCUUUAGACUUUUUACAAAGCAGUCAUGACUUAAGAACAGAAUCAUUAUCCACUAAUAAGAAGUUCACUUCUUCAUAUACCAGACAUACAAUGUAAGUGAAAUGAAUUCUGCAGUAUGCCUCCUUCAGUCUCAUUCUUUCAUUUGUUUGUUGAGCUGGCUUGGGGCUGCCGUUUCCCCGUUUCCAGCACAGUAGUCUCUACUGAAUCAAACAAGUAUUGCUAAAAUAAACUGACUGGCAACUAAAUUGCAUAUCUUCAUGCAUCCUGAAUGCAACAGACUAUUGCAGUGUAAAUGCACCAUAGUUUCUGUUUGAUUGGCUUAAGAUCUGAUAUAAACACAUUGUGAAAGUUAUUAUUCAUUUGAUACCAUAUUAGGUAGUAAGUAUGCUGUGAGGUAUUCUGAAAGACUGGAUAUAAAUAAGAUAUCUCUUUGUUUUAGAGAACCUUGCUUCCACAAGACAGUUUAAUGUCUUACAGCAACCAUCGAACUUUGCGAAUGAAGAGGCUAUGAUAGGUGCUGUCACUCAAGAACAACAGAGAAGUCUGCCUCAUGAAGUAGUGACAUUUAUUACUUGGAUACAGAAAAUCUGUUCACCGAGCCCCAAAAGACUGAAAAAUUUGCUAAGAUCUAAAAUUGAAGAAUUUCUGGCUUUCAGAGGAAGGGACAUCAUCCUUGGUCAGUAGAAAAGAAGUUGUUGAAAAAAGAGGCUGGCAGAUCUGAAGGGAGCAGAAAAGUCACACAGAAUACCAGAUCAAUGGGUUCUACUGAGCUGGAUGGAUGGAUUGCUGGUGGUAUAUUAGGUGAUAUCUGAGAACAUAAAAAAGUAAGUGAAUAAAUAAAUGAAAUAAAAAAUAAAAGUGAGAACAUAAUGAAGGCUAAGUAAAGAACACUGGAUGCUGAUGUCAGGUGGGCAGUAGGAGGUAGCACAUGUUGUACAGCAGGUUCUCAUCUUCAAAGUUCUGUGGAAAUGGUACCAGGAGGAGAUCUUUAGAUGACAUGUGCAGUAGCCAUGACCCUGCAAACAAUGUUUCUAGAGGUACCAAAUAUAUUACCCCAGUCUCAACUGAAGAUUGGGAUCUACAUGAGGAUCCAUUGGACUAAGUCCUAUGGCUGGUAAUUUACGUUGUCUUUCUUUGGUCUACUACAAAGUGUCAGUUGUGAAUCAAUACCAAACACAUGGCUAUGGAGAGUACCUUUGCAACAGCGAAUUGUGUUUAUAGAUGAGUAAAGAGUAAAGUGGAAGGAGAGACUGAAAAACUGUUGCGGCAAAAUGCAGUCCUCUCUAAUAAGGCUCCCAAGCUUAAUAUCAUCAUUCGGUGGACUAAUCACAAGUGGCAGUAUCACAUGCCAUUUCCUCACUCCAUGAAACACUAUAGACAAGCUUGUGUUGUAAUCCAUAUUAGCACUGAACAUUUAUUCAGUAAUUAUAAUCAGAAAUGGUUGUCUCCAUAUUCAAUGCCACUUGCUGGCACGAAUUAAUAAAUUUAGUCACAGAGGAAACUAGGCCUAUAUCAUGAAAUUUGGACAAUUUAGAUUUUUUACUAAUCUAUGACUAUGAUCCUAAUAAUUCAAACAAUUAAAAUAAAUGUUUUAUACUGAAGAUGAUAAGAAUGCACAAAGAGGAUAGAAUUGUGGGUACUGCUGUCAAAAGUUUCUCUCUCACUCCUUUACCUCACACUGGGAAAAAAUCAUGAAAUGGGAAAUAAAUGAACCACAAAGUUCAUCAUAUUCAACAGAAGUUAUUGUGGACCAGUUUAAAUGGACAUUACUAGUAAAUUGUUUAAAUUUUCCAUGUGGUGAUGUAACAACAGUAAUUGUCAGUUAUUAUAAAACAAUUUUAUUUUCAGUCCCAAUUGCAGACUUUUACAACUAUAACAAGUUUUGACUUUUAAGCUAUUAUUGGAUAACUAGUCCUACUGAGGCUCUUAAUCUGUCUGGGCAUGUCAUUUUCCUUAAUCUUCCACUGUAGAACAUGCAGCCACUGGUCAACAUCUCAAACCCAUAACAGGAAUUGCUAUUUGACAACAGCUUAAAAGUUUAAACAUGCAUUGCUGUAAGAGUGAAAAAAAAACUAUCAGCUAUUAUCUAUGUUAAAUGGAGAGGGUUUGUUUGAACUAAAAUAUUACUGAUGGUCUGUUGUACUACAUAGUUGGAUAUUUUGGGUUUUUAUUUUAAUUAGUGCUAUGCAUAUGAUCUUUACUAAUAAACUACUCAAAUUAACAGUUCAUGGAUGGGAUGCAGAUAUUCAUAGUAAAUGAGGUCACAUAAUGAAAUAAUGGGAACAACCAAGGUAAUAAAUUCCCUUGGUACCUCAGGGAAAAUAACUUAUGGGUACCUGUAUUGGUACCACUAUUUUGGUUCUAACCAUUACUGACAGUGGAUUACUGGUUGAAUGCAGAAAAUUAAUUUGUGGACAUGAAAUGAUUUCUCCCAUUCAGUAGAUGAAAUUAAUGAAAGCGUAGUAUAAGGACAUUCCAGAUUUUACACGAGACAUUUCAUUUUCAUUGCAUGAAUGAAUCCUUCAGCUGCUUUAUUUGCAAAUAAAGCAAGACCUUUUAAGAUAGCGAUAUGAUUCAUUUAUACUCUGCACCUCCCUGCUCCUUUCCUGCUUUUACCCCACAGUUCCUACACCAGCAAGACUGCUGCUCACAUCAGACACAGACACAGUCACAGUCACAUUCAAGACUUAGUGCCUGGAGACCAUGGUCAUAUGUCUGUGAGUUGUCUGCUUAACUUUGAAUAGGACACAGGUCCCUGUCUGAUGGCUUCCUUCUCAGACAUGAAGAACUGCCCAUUUGUGAUGGAUGUGGUGUGCUGAUUGCAGUUUGCCACAAUUUAACUGAUUCUAUUUUAUAUAAUGACAAGAUGAUACAAACUGAUUUAUUGGCAGAUAUAUCCUCAAUCUUAAGUGAUAAUGACCUAAAUGUGAUGUGUGUUUUACAAUUCUGUGUUUUAUCUUCCCUUCUACCUAAGCUCUGAAGUCAAUGCGUUAGGUGUGUUUGAGGAUGAUUGUCUUAUCCAACUGUUACCUUCAUAAUCACCUAAUCUUCUUUUCUGAACUUGCCUCUUAGAGGCUGUACAGAUACAAUAUCAGUAUUCUUCGUGGUCUAUCUGGACUUGCUUGCUCCAUUGCACUGUUCAGAGGUGCAUGUAAGAAAGAGUAAAAGGGAGAAUAUGUGUUGUAUUUUAGGCUAUCCUCAUGUUGUGUGCUCUACCCCCAUUCAUCUCAUACAUUCAAUGCAUGAUGAUAAUUAAUAUGAUGUUGAGAGUGCUAAAGGUGUAACAACAACAACAACAAUGCCUUUGUCUGAAAAAUGAAAAUAUUUCUAGUGCAGCUUUGCAUUCCAUCAGUCUGUGACUCAGUUUACACUCUAUGCAUUUAUUAGCAAUCUGUCCUCUCCAUAUUAUCAUUAAAGAUGGAUGUAUGAAUAUUCAAUGUUUCUGCCAUUAUGUAACUUUAUAUGAAUUGUGAACAGAACCUUUUUGACUGAUCAGUUAUACAGGAAUUGAAUUUUUCUAUGUUCUCUGAAACAACAGAGGUAAGGUUAUUGGAAUAAAGUGCUACAUGGAGACUGGGUACAACAUUAUUUUCUUGCCAUUUUGCUAAAACACUCAUGUGACCUUUCAUAGGACAUUGCUGAAAUGUGACCUAUACCACACAGGACUUACAGGGGAUUUGAAACAUUUACAAAGAAAGAUAGCACAAAUUGUUACAUGUUUGUCUUAGCCUUGGGAGAGCAUCACAGGAAGCCUGAAACAUUUGAACUGGUAGACACUCGAUUGUAGACGUCAACUACCCAUCAAAAGCUUGCUUACAAAGUUUUGAGAAUCAGUAUUAAGUGAGGAAUCUUGGAAUACACUACAGCCUCCUAUGUAUCAUCCCCACAGGCAUUCUAAAGAUGAGAUUAGACUAACUGCCAUGAGCACAGAGGUGUUUAAACAAUCAUUUUUCCUAUGUCCUGUACACAAACGGAAUGCGAAGGAACCCUAGUCUGUGUUACAGUGGGAAGUAUGCUCUGCCUUACACUUCAGAGUGGAUUGGAGAGGAUGGAUGUACAUGUGUAUAUGCAGUGAAUUCUGCACCUGACAAAUUUAAGGAAACUGUAACAUGUAUCUUAUAUUGAUAAGGUGAAUAUUUAAAUAUGGAGAUGGAUACAUACAUCAUUCAGAAGAAUGUGUGAACAAAGUUCCUGUGCAUCAGUUGUGUGAAAAAACAGGAGUUCUUGAAAUAUGUUGUGUGUUCUAAUGUUAGUAUAACUUUUUAAUGAACAUAUUAUUUUAUGGUGGGCUAUUAUACUUCACUGUAUACAGUUUUAAAACUUAAAUUACUGUGUGCAAUACAGCAGAUGUAUACAGCAGCUAAGGUGGAUUCCUUACAAACUGUAUAAGAGUACUGGGAAGCAUUUAAUUUGUGAAAUCACAAACUUUAAAAUCUGUUAAACUAAAUGCUUUAUUGUUUUCUCCAGGUAUCUGGAAACAAAAUGUAUAAUUUGACACAUUUAUAAAACAUCUCUUCCUGUUGAUUCAAAAAAGAAAGCAUUACACUUAAAGGACAUAAAAAACAGAAUAUUGGUCUAUUGUUGAUAGUACACAUGUCAAAUUAUCUUUGAAUCAGAUGAGAGUAUUCUUCCUUGUGGAGCUGCAGUAAAAUGCCUGUUGUGGCUUUGUGCUAUAUUCCAUUUAUUGAUUUCUCCAUCAUUUCCAAGUUACCUUGAUCUUUCUGCCCAGUAGGCUCGUACACUGGCAUUUGCCUGAGGUGUCUCAGAGCCUAAACUCUGUCAGUGAGGUGUUUUUCAUUCACUCUGUCCUUAAAGAUCUCAUUCACUGAAAAGACUUUCAAUUCCUACACAGUGUCUUCAUUUCUGAUUUAAUACAACUUGGAAUCUCAUCUGUGAUGAGUGGAUCCUUGUAUGACAUGUGUAGAGAGAAUCUAAUUCUCAAUCCUCCACACC